AGAGUUUGAUCCUGGCUCAGGAUGAACGCUGGCGGCGUGCUUAACACAUGCAAGUCGAACGAAGCACUUAUCUUUGAUUCUUCGGAUGAAGAGGUUUGUGACUGAGUGGCGGACGGGUGAGUAACGCGUGGGUAACCUGCCUCAUACAGGGGGAUAACAGUUAGAAAUGACUGCUAAUACCGCAUAAGACCACGGAGCCGCAUGGCUCAGUGGGAAAAACUCCGGUGGUAUGAGAUGGACCCGCGUCUGAUUAGGUAGUUGGUGGGGUAACGGCCUACCAAGCCAACGAUCAGUAGCCGACCUGAGAGGGUGACCGGCCACAUUGGGACUGAGACACGGCCCAAACUCCUACGGGAGGCAGCAGUGGGGAAUAUUGCACAAUGGGGGAAACCCUGAUGCAGCGACGCCGCGUGAGCGAAGAAGUAUUUCGGUAUGUAAAGCUCUAUCAGCAGGGAAGAAAAUGACGGUACCUGACUAAGAAGCACCGGCUAAAUACGUGCCAGCAGCCGCGGUAAUACGUAUGGUGCAAGCGUUAUCCGGAUUUACUGGGUGUAAAGGGAGCGUAGACGGCUGUGUAAGUCUGAAGUGAAAGCCCGGGGCUCAACCCCGGGACUGCUUUGGAAACUAUGCAGCUAGAGUGUCGGAGAGGUAAGUGGAAUUCCCAGUGUAGCGGUGAAAUGCGUAGAUAUUGGGAGGAACACCAGUGGCGAAGGCGGCUUACUGGACGAUGACUGACGUUGAGGCUCGAAAGCGUGGGGAGCGAACAGGAUUAGAUACCCUGGUAGUCCACGCCGUAAACGAUGAAUGCUAGGUGUAGGAGGUAUCGACCCCUUCUGUGCCGGAGUUAACGCAAUAAGCAUUCCGCCUGGGGAGUACGGCCGCAAGGCUGAAACUCAAAGGAAUUGACGGGGGCCCGCACAAGCGGUGGAGUAUGUGGUUUAAUUCGACGCAACGCGAAGAACCUUACCAGGGCUUGACAUUGAGUGAAAGGACAAGAGAUUGUCCCCUCUCUUCGGAGACACGAAAACAGGUGGUGCAUGGCUGUCGUCAGCUCGUGUCGUGAGAUGUUGGGUUAAGUCCCGCAACGAGCGCAACCCCUAUCCUUUGUUGCCAGCACGCAAUGGUGGGAACUCAAAGGAGACUGCCGCGGACAACGCGGAGGAAGGCGGGGAUGACGUCAAGUCAUCAUGCCCCUUAUGUCCUGGGCUACACACGUACUACAAUGGGAUGGACAGAGAGCAGCGAAGCCGCGAGGCCAAGCGAACCCCAUAAACCAUCUCCCAGUUCGGAUUGCAGGCUGCAACCCGCCUGCAUGAAGUUGGAAUCGCUAGUAAUCGCAGGUCAGCAUACUGCGGUGAAUACGUUCCCGGGCCUUGUACACACCGCCCGUCACACCACGGAAGUCAUUCACACCCGAAGCCGGCAGGCUAACCUUUAUGGAGGCAGCCGUCUAAGGUGGGGGCGAUGACUGGGGUGAAGUCGUAACAAGGUA
rnacentral:rRNA from 1 species